rnacentral:rRNA from 1 species
GUGGGGAAUAUUGGACAAUGGGCGAAAGCCUGAUCCAGCCAUGCCGCGUGUGUGAAGAAGGUCUUCGGAUUGUAAAGCACUUUAAGUUGGGAGGAAGGGCAGUAAGUUAAUACCUUGCUGUUUUGACGUUACCGACAGAAUAAGCACCGGCUAACUUCGUGCCAGCAGCCGCGGUAAUACGAAGGGUGCAAGCGUUAAUCGGAAUUACUGGGCGUAAAGCGCGCGUAGGUGGUUUUGUAAGUUGGAGGUGAAAUCCCCGGGCUCAACCUGGGAACUGCCUCCAAAACUGCAUGACUAGAGUACGGUAGAGGGUAGUGGAAUUUCCUGUGUAGCGGUGAAAUGCGUAGAUAUAGGAAGGAACACCAGUGGCGAAGGCGACUACCUGGACUGAUACUGUCACUGAGGUGCGAAAGCGUGGGGAGCAAACAGGAUUAGAAACCCUGGUAGUCC